rnacentral:rRNA from 1 species
GACGAACGCUGGCGGCGUGCUUAACACAUGCAAGUCGAGCGAUGAAGUUCCUUCGGGAAUGGAUUAGCGGCGGACGGGUGAGUAACACGUGGGUAACCUGCUCAUAGAGGGGAAUAGCCCUUCGAAAGGAAGAUUAAUACCGCAUAAGAUUGUAGUACCGCAUGGUACAGCAAUUAAAGGAGUAAUCCGCUAUGAGAUGGACCUGCGUCGCAUUAGCUAGUUGGUGAGGUAACGGCUCCCCAAGGCGACGAUGCGUAGCCGACCUGAGAAGGUGAGCAGCGUGAUUGGGACACACACACGAGACAGACGCGAACGGGAGGAAGCAGUGGGGAAUAUUGCCCAAUUGAGAAGAACUCUGAAGCAGAAAUGCCGCGUGAGCGAAGAAGGUCUUCGGAACGUAAAGCUCUGUGAUCAGGGAAGAAGAAAAUGACGGUACCUGAUGAGCAAGUCCCGGCUAACUACGUGCCAGCCGCCGCCGUAA